AUACGGAGGGGGUUAGCGUUGUUCGGAAUUACUGGGCGUAAAGCGUACGUAGGCGGAUCGGAAAGUAAGGGGUGAAAUCCCAGGGCUCAACCCUGGAACUGCCUCUUAAACUCCCGGUCUUGAGUUCGAGAGAGGUGAGUGGAAUUCCUAGUGUAGAGGUGAAAUUUGUAGAUAUUAGGAGGAACACCAGUGGCGAAGGCGGCUAACUGGCUCGAUACUGACGCUGAGGUACGAAAGUGUGGGGGGCAAACAGGAUUAGAAACCCUAGUAGUCC
rnacentral:rRNA from 1 species